GGGCUGGCGCAGCUGGCACCGAGCACGGCAUUAACACUGCCAGGGUUAGUGGUUUGAUUCCCACUGGGGCCGCCCA